GUAUUAGCGGGAGUUCUCUUCAAGCACUUUACGGAGCACCUCUCCUAAGGUAUUAUGUGGAGUGUUUGGGGGAACUCUUGUUGUGGC
rnacentral:pre_miRNA from 1 species